ACUACGGGUGGCAGCAGUGGGGGAUCUUGCACAAUGGGGGAAACCCUGAUGCAGCGACGCCGCGUGAGUGAAGAAGUAUUUCGGUAUGUAAAGCUCUAUCAGCAGGGAAGAAAAUGACAGUACCUGACCAAGAAGCCCCGGCUAACUACGUGCCAGCAGCCGCGGGAAUACGUAGGGGGCAAGCGUUAUCCGGAUUUACUGGGCGGAAAGGGAGCGUAGACGGUUAUGUAAGUCUGGAGGGAAAGCCCGGGGCCCAACCCCGGGACUGCUUUGGAGACUGUGUAACUGGAGUACAGGAGGGGCAGGCGGAAUUCCUGGUGUAGCGGUGAAAUGCGUAGAUAUCAGGAGGAACACCGGCGGCGAAGGCGGCCUGCUGGACUGAAACUGACGUUGAGGCUCGAAAGCGUGGGGAGCAAACAGGAUUAGAUACCCCAGUAGUC
rnacentral:rRNA from 1 species